rnacentral:rRNA from 1 species
AUUCCGGUGAUCAUAGCGGCGGGGCCACACCCGUUCCCAUUCCGAACACGGCCGUUAAGCCCGUUCGCGCCGAUGAUACUGCAGACAAGCGGGAAAGUAGGUUGUCGCCGGGUUU